GGGCCUGUAGCUCAGUCGGUUAGAGCGUCCGCCUGAUAAGCGGGAGGUCGGUAGUUCGAAUCUACCCAGGCCCACCA
rnacentral:tRNA from 2 species